rnacentral:rRNA from 1 species
CCUACGGGGGGCAGCAGUGGGGGAUAUUGCACAAUGGGGGAAACCCUGAUGCAGCGACGCCGCGUGGGUGAAGAAGCGCCUCGGCGCGUAAAGCCCUGUCAGCAGGGAAGAAAAUGACGGUACCUGAAGAAGAAGCCCCGGCUAACUACGUGCCAGCAGCCGCGGUAAUACGUAGGGGGCAAGCGUUAUCCGGAUUUACUGGGUGUAAAGGGGGCGCAGACGGCGAUGCAAGCCAGGAGUGAAAGCCCGGGGCCCAACCCCGGGACUGCUCUUGGAACUGCGUGGCGAGAGUGCAGGAGGGGCAGGCGGAAUUCCUGGUGUAGCGGUGAAAUGCGUAGAUAGCAGGAGGAACAACGGUGGCGAAGGCGGCCUGCUGGACUGCAACUGACGUUGAGGCCCGAAAGCGUGGGGAGCAAACAGGAUUAGAUACCCUUGUAGUC